rnacentral:hammerhead_ribozyme from 15 species
UAGGCGUCUAAGAUAGUCUUCCACUACGUUACCUUACUGAUGAGUCCAGUAGUGGAAGCCGGGACGAAACGCCAA